rnacentral:tRNA from 1 species
GCGAGUGUAGUUCAAUGGUAGAACUUCAGCCCUCCAAGCUGACCAUGGGGGUUCGAUUCCCCUCACUCGCUCCA